rnacentral:lncRNA from 1 species
UAUACUUGUCCACAUCCUUAGACUUAGAACCUACUCAUUUGAUCUCUUGAACACAAGCUAUAUUAAUCCUCCUUUUUCUAAGAAUCUUUACGAGCUCUACGGACUUAAUUUGAAGAGUCCCUAUGUUCCAAUACCCUACUCUCAACCUAGAGUCUCUCUUAUACUACUUAAUCCUACUUCAACCAGGACCGAGGACUGCCCCUGUUACCCAACCCAACCA